rnacentral:tRNA from 1 species
GCUUUCGUUGUGCAGCGGUCAGCACGUUCGACGCGUAAUCGAGAGGUCCGUGGUUCAAUUCCCGGCGAAGGCG